rnacentral:snRNA from 16 species
AUACCUUUCUCGGCCUUUUGGCUAAGAUCANNNNNNNNNAUCAGUUUAAUAUCUGAUAUGUGGACUACAUGUCCACAACGAUAUUAAAUUUAUUUUUCGUGGGGGUGGGCCCACCACAGUAGCUUGCUGCUCGGGUCCACAUGCGUCGCCUGGGCGUUGCACUGCUGCCCUGGCCCGGCGCACCCCAA